rnacentral:rRNA from 1 species
UACGAAGGGGGCUAGCGUUGUUCGGAAUUACUGGGCGUAAAGCGCGCGCAGGCGGUCUUCCAAGUCAGUGGUGAAAGCCCGGAGCUCAACUCCGGAACUGCCAUUGAAACUGUAAGACUUGAGGAUGAGAGAGGUGAGUGGAAUUCCCAGUGUAGAGGUGAAAUUCGUAGAUAUUGGGAAGAACACCGGAGGCGAAGGCGGCUCACUGGCUCGUAACUGACGCUCAGGCGCGACAGCGUGGGGAUCAAACAGG